rnacentral:rRNA from 1 species
AAGCGCCUAUGACCAGACUUGGGCCCGGUGAAUCAUCCAGCGUUCUCGCUGGUGCACUUUGCCGGGCACAGGCCAGCAUCAGUUUGGCGCGGGGGAUAAAGGCUUCGGGAAUGUGGCUCCCUCGGGAGUGUUAUAGCCCGUUGUGUAAUACCCUGCGCCGGACUGAGGUACGCGCUCCGCAAGGAUGCUGGCGUAAUGGUCAUCAGCGA